rnacentral:rRNA from 1 species
UACAUAGGUUGCAAGCGUUAUCCGGAAUUAUUGGGCGUAAAGCGUCUGUAGGUUGUAUGUUAAGUCUGGCGUGAAAACUUGGGGCUCAACCCCAAAUUGCGUUGGAUACUGGCAUACUAGAAUUGUGUAGAGGUUAGCGGAAUUCCUAGUGAAGCGGUGAAAUGCGUAGAUAUUAGGAAGAACAUCAACAUGGCGAAGGCAGCUAACUGGGCACAUAUUGACACUGAGAGACGAAAGCGUGGGGAGCAAACAGG